rnacentral:rRNA from 1 species
GACGAACGCUGGCGGCGUGCUUAACACAUGCAAGUCGAACGGAAAGGCCCUGCUUUUGUGGGGUGCUCGAGUGGCGAACGGGUGAGUAACACGUGAGUAACCUGCCCUUGACUUUGGGAUAACUUCAGGAAACUGGGGCUAAUACCGGAUAGGAGCUCCUGCUGCAUGGUGGGGGUUGGAAAGUUUCGGCGGUUGGGGAUGGACUCGCGGCUUAUCAGCUUGUUGGGGGGGUAGUGGCUUACCAAGGCUUUGACGGGUAGCCGGCCUGGGAGGGUGACCGGCCACAUUGGGACUGAGAUACGUCCCAGACUCCUACGGGAGGCAGCAGUGGGGAAUAUUGCACAAUGGGCGGAAGCCUGAUGCAGCAACGCCGCGUGCGGGAUGACGGCCUUCGGGUUGUAAACCGCUUUCGCCUGUGACGAAGCGUGAGUGACGGUAAUGGGUAAAGAAGCACCGGCUAACUACGUG